GGACCCGCACAAGUAGUGGAGCAUGUGGUUUAAUUCGAAGAUACGCGCAGAACCUUACCAACACUUGACAUGUUCGUCGCGACUUUAAGAGAUUAAAGUUUUCGGUUCGGCCGGACGAAACACAGGUGCUGCAUGGCUGUCGUCAGCUCGUGUCGUGAGAUGUUGGUUAAGUCCCGCAACGAGCGCAACCCUCACUUUUAGUUGCCAUCAUUUAGUUGGGCACUCUGAAAGAACUGCCAGUGAUAAGCUGGAGGAAGGUGGGGAUGACGUCAAGUCCUCAUGGCCCUUACGUGUUGGGCUACACACGUGCUACAAUGGUAUUUUACAACAGGAAGCAAGACAGGCCGAACGUUUAG
rnacentral:rRNA from 1 species